AAAAAGGAAAAGCAAUAGAAACUGUCCAAUUCACAUCAGUUAUCCGUCUGCUUUUUCUUGAGAGCUUGUGGAAGGUGUUAACGUGGCUGGGAACAUCAACACCUUGGCAUGCAUGAAUGUUAAGUCAGGAAGGCCAGCGAUCACCUUGAUAGCUUCUUCACUUAGGUGCUCUUCUCUUUUCGGUUUCCUACUGACAAAUGAAAAAAAGACAAGUGUGUUAAUGUGACUUUGCUGUAGGUAAAAUGGGAGACAAUCCACUCUCAAGGUAGACAGUUAGCAAUCUGUGGGGACUUGAGUAUUUUUUCCUCUGCUAGUUCCUGAAUCUUGUAAUACUUUUGUGCAGUAUGCUUCCUGUGCCAAAUGCCAAAUCUCAUGAAGAGUGACGUGCGGCCUAUUUAUGUUCAUUAAAGCUAGGCAUGCACACACAGAUACUCACAUGCACACCUAGACAGCUCGUGUACUUUCUAGCCUUUACAUUAGGCUAGAAGCAUCUACCCAGGCAUAAUUUUAAAAUGUUACUAAACAGAAAUAUAAAUCUGAAGCCUUAGUAACACUCCACCUAACUGGGUUUUUCCCUGCCCCUCCACCCGCUAAAACUACCUCAGCCUGAAACAAAGUGUGCCCAGGGAAAGACUAAGUCAUUUUAACCUCAGGCUCUCUUUAUCCCCAGUGGGGAAUUCCAGGAGAGAAAGCUCUCAGCUCAGAAGACCCAGUCUCAGCCUGUUGGGAUACAGACAGCAGGUCCAAAAGCAGCAGCACUAGGGCUGGUUGCUGGUGUUAUUAUGCACGUACACAGGCAGGACGGAACUCUGGGUGAGGGAAAUCUCAAAUCCUAUGGGUCCUGUAGAUGAAGUAGAUUUUGCUGCACUGGCCCCCGAUAUGGGAAAUUAGCAGUUUGGUGCCUAACACAGACAAGAAAAUGCCUGGUGACCCAGGUCUACUCAGCAGGUGAGCCACAGAAAAUGCCAAAUGAGCCUCAAAUUGGGCACAUGAUUGCAAUUCAAACUUUUUCUGGGAUAUUAAAUAUAUUAAAGGAGUAGUUAUACAUAUUAUUCGCUUUAGACCAAAAAUCAUUUCAAGUUGUUCAUUAUAAAAAGCCUAAUAAUUCUCUUUUAUGGUAAAGGAUAGCUGGUAUUCUUAGAUGUGACACAAGGUAUUUCUUUGACCUAAAUGUUUCCUUUUUCCUUGGAUGGGGUGCAGGAAGCCAGGAGGUAAAGCAAGAAAGGAAGGAUAGCUACAGGCUUUUUUAUUCCUAGGACUUUUCUGUUACCACUUUGAAUCCAGACUGAAAUAAAAAGAUUUUAUAGAAUGAAUGAAAAAUCCAACGACUUUUAGGACUAAAGUUUUUCAAAAGGGAAAAAGCAUCAGGCAUAUAGCAGAUGAACCAAAUACUGCAUUCAGUACUAGGUUCUUAGAAGAAUGGAAUAGCAAUCCAACAUUUUUUUCUGAUGAAAAUCUACAUUUUUAAUUGCACUUAAAUAGUGGCAAAACUAUUAUGUGGACGUUUGAUGGGGAACUGGAUAUCUGCAUCAUUCCAAAGUAAAACCAGAUACAUGACAAGUGAAAACCUGGAACUGUAUAAUGGAAAAGGUCAGUUUCUCACCAAUCGUCAAUCUCAGCACCACUAACAAUGGAGUCAACCAGAUGUAUGGAUCUUCUGAUGUGAUAUAACACCUAGGAUGCAUUCUAGCCAAAAUAUUUACCCUGAAUUCAGCAAGCCUUUAGAUAUAAUUUCCAAUUUACAGGAAAAUAGGGAGAUAGAGAACACAGCAAAUAUUACUUGAAGGAAGCAAACAGACAAAUCCAGAGCUUUUAGGACAUUCUGUAGGACACCUAUACUAAUCUUUAUAUAAGCUACUGUUAAUAAGAAAACAGAAGGAAUGAGGAGAUAUGCUAGGUUAAAAGGGACUUAAGAGCCCCAACAGCCAGGUACAAUAGUCUUCAAUUGAAUACUGGUUUGUACAAAGCUGAGAAAGGAUAGUUGGAGAAAUCUGAAUAUAGCCUAAGUAGAUGAAAUGAAAACUCACUGAAAUGGACAGAGAUCACUGACUAAGACUAGGUCAAUUUUAGAGGUCAAUUCACUAUGACCUCUAAAAUCUCAUUUUUGGUGGAAACCCCCCCCCCCCCCCCAUAUAUGUAUUUGCAUAGGAAAAGAUCUGAAAGAAUUACACUAAGGAAUUAUAGUGAUCCUGAAUGGUAAGAAUGUGAUACUUUCAUUUUUAAUUUUUUUUGGUCCGGAUUUCCUAACUUUCUAAAAAUAUACUUUACUACUUCUAUAAUGAUAAAUGGUUAUUUAAAACAACAGUGAAUAAAUGCGCACCUAAAUGGACUUUCCCAUUUGUGGAGUGCAGUUUGGGUGUAGGAACAGACAGCAAAAAAUAAGUUUUUACCUAAGAAACAGUUGGUAAAGAUUAUUCUAGGGUUUUAAACAAUUGCCUUAUUUCAGAGGCAAUAUGAAAUUAUAUUUUAAAAUAAAAAGUUUACACAGUUCAUAGUUUGUGCAUUUAUCUGUGGUCAUUGUGCAUGGGUGUGAGCUAGUCUUCUUAGAAUAUGGGAAGAAGCAAACACUUAAGGAGAAUUUGAAAAUAAAAAGUUAUAUCAUGAUCAUUUCUCAAAGGCAGUGACCUAAUUUUGAUCUAUUCCUCUCUAGUGAAGAUUUAUCCUUUUUAUCAAUGGAAUAUAAUUGAGAAUAUAAUUGAGAGUCCAGGAAAAAAACAUGAUCAAUUGUUUUUUAAUUUUUGUUUUUGACAAAUGUGCCAAAACCUUUCAGUGGGGGAAAUCAUUUCAACAGUUUUCAGACAACUGGAUAUCCACCUGCACAAGAAUGAAUGUGGACUCCUACCUCAUACCAUAUACAGAAAUUAAUUCAAAAUGGAUUAAAGACCUAAAUGUAAGAGUUGAAAUUAUAAAACUCUUAGGAGAAAAUCUAGGUAUAAAUCUUUGUGACCAUGAAUUGGGCAAUGAUUUCUUAGAUAUGAUACCUAAAUCACAAGAAAAAUUAGAUCUUAUCAAAAUUAAAAGCUUUUGUGUGUCAAAGAAUACUAUCAAGAUAAUGAAAAGACAACCUGCAGAAUUGGAAAAGAUAUCUUCAAAUCAUUUCUCUGAUAAAGGCUUAGUAUCCAGAAUAUACUUAAAAAUCUUACAACCUAACAAUAAAAAGACAAAUUAUCCAAUUAAAAUAUAGGCAAAUGGCUGGGCACAGUGGCUCAUGCCUGUAAUCUCAAUACUUUGGGAGGCUGAGGAGGGAGAUCGCUUGAGCUCAAGAGUUCAAGACCGGCCUGGGGCAACAUACUGAGACCUUGUCUCUACUAAAACAAAAACAAAAAAGGCAAAGGAUCUGAACAGAUAUUUCUCCACAGAAGAUAUACAAAUAGUCGAUAAACACAUGAAAAGAUGCUCAACAUGAUUAGCUAUCAGGGAAAUGCAAACAAAAAUGUCAAUGAGAUAUCACUUCAAACCCACUGGGAUGGCUAUAACCAAAAAGACCAAUAACAAGUGUUGGUAAGAAUGUGGAGAACUUGGAAUGUAUAUUACUGGUGGGAAUGUAAAAUGGUGCCAUCACUUUGGAAAAGUUUGGCAGUUCCCCAAAGAAGUUAGAGUUCCUAUAAGACCCAGAAAUUCCACUCCUAACAGAGUUGGAAACAUCUGUCCACACAAAAACGUAUACACAAGUGUUCACAGCAGCAACACUACUCAUAAUAGUCAAAAAGUGAAAACAACCCAAUUAUCAACUGAUUAAUGGAAAAGCAAAAUGUGCUAUUUCCAAUGAAAUAUUAUGCAGCCAAAAAACAAAUACGGAUACAUACUACAACAUGAAUGAACUUGAGAACAGAAUGCUAAGCAAAACCGAGACACAAAAGGCUGCAGACUAUAGAAUUCCAUCUAUAUGAAAUAACCAGAAAAGACAAAUCUGUAGAGACAGAAAGCAGAUUAGUAGUUGCCAGGGCCUGGGGAACGAGAGGGAUAAGGAGUGACUGCUAAUGGGUACAGGGUUUCUUUUUGGGGUGAUAAAAAUGUUUUGGAAUUAGAUAGUGAUGAUGGUUGCACAACCUUGUGAAUAUACUAAAAACCAGUGAAUUGAACACCUGAAUGAAUUAUAAAUUUUUAUCUCAAUAAAAAGGCCUAAAAAAGAAUAAAAUUUCUUUGACCUGCAUAAACUUCAGUUACAGGUCUAUGGCUACUAACUAGCUGUCACUAAUUAGUAGUGAUUUAGAAUAGGAAGUAAUUUUCCUCCAUAUUAGGAAAGUUAGGCAAGAAGAUGGAACUAUUUUAAAACUAAGAACUUGCACUUCUUUAAAAAACUCAAAGUGAGAAGUCACUUUCACAACUUGUGUUCCAAAAGAGAAGAGCACAUAUAAAUUCCCUGAGACACUCAAAGGCACUUAGUAAAGAGUACUGGAUAUUGUUUGGUCCAUGUCAAAUUUCUUCUACCUUGACCACUGUUUAACUCCUUCUUACCCUAUAGUCUAUCAAAAUGCCUUUUCACUUUAUCUUCUGCUUAUUGGCAAUAGCCAAGAAGAUUUUGCUGAGCUUUAUUUUUUGCAGUUUACUUUAUUCAAGAGAAAAAUGAAAGAAAACCUAAAAAUAAGAUACUAAAAAUGCUUUCUGAAAUUAUGCUACCAGCCUGUCUCUGCUCUGUACGAUUGAGAAUCACUCGUUGGGACAUUUUACAGUAUUUUAAGACUUGCGGGCAUUUGUAUUUUUUUACCAUUUUCAAAUGACAUUUCUCAAAACAGAAAAUACAAAGUUGGCAACCUGUUCUCUCCAAUUUAUUUUGUUUUAAAUAUGAUGCUGGACAGGUCCUAGCGAGUAACUCAAUACAGAAUUAGCAGACAUUAACUCCAGGAUACAUUAUUAGUUCAUUCCCUAUUAGUAUAGAACAAGAGAAAAAAUGAAAAUAGCUUCUUAAAGUGAUAGGGCUUGGAAGAGUUCUCUAGAUUCAGCAUGUUUCAAGGAUGAGUUAACGAAUUAGGAGAACAAGUUAAGGUGGUUUAGAGCUCCUCCUAAUGGCACGAAAUGAAUUCUCAUCAUUGGGAUUUUCAAAACUUCUAUAGUUCUUUGGUCAGUGAGACUGCAGGGGAAACAAAGGAAGGAAAGAGUAGAACUGUCCCAGAAAGGGUUGUCCUAAAAAUAGCAGGGGGAAACCCAAACAAUAAAAGCAUCCUUUUUGGUUUUUAAGUCAAAUGUGUGUUAGCUUUUAGUUAACAUAUACAAAUUUCUCAUCCAUUUUUUUCUAUGAGAGGAGUUUCGAUUUGAAGAAGUGAUUUAUUUGGAAAGAAAAAAAUUUAAAAAAAGCCACAUAGCCACAUUUACAAGUAGGUUCAUUGAAGAGGAGGCUUUGGCAAUGCCAGGUGGCAUACUGCAAAGACAUGGGGCUAUGAGAACAAUGGAGAGAACUGGCAGACAAACAAGGAUUUACAUGCUACAAAGCCAUUCUAGGGAAAAGUUAAGGGUAGUCUAAUGUAUAAUAAUGUAUUUCAUAAUUAUAAAUAUUAAAGGCAAUAAGAAAAAUCUGGGGGAAUAAAAGCACACAAAGUUUAAAAGACAAUAUGAUAAUUCAAGCUAAAGUUAAGAGAGAGAAACAUUUAUUAUUCACAAUAAAAAAGGCUUUUUUAAAUGGAUGUCUUUCUAUAGAAGAAUCUAUUUAAAAUAUAAACCUGAAUUUAACAUGUGAUUGGGAUGUAUUUAUUCAGGAGAAAGAGCUAUAACACUUCUUUUAAAGUAGGCAACUAAUAGGUAAAUAGUUCCACUUUAAAAUGCUGAUGCAUCACAGAUUUGAGACAGCAGAGCUGGCGUGUCAAUCAACCAGUAUUUGCUUUUGCACUAGUGAUUUCCUGGUUCAGAAUAGUAUCUUCCUGUUAGAAACUGGCUUAGUCUUAUGGUUAACAAUAACUCAAAGCAAUGGAUUGUACUAGCCUAAUCAUAUGAAACUAAAGAUUCUCUGAAUCGCAAACACAUGGCCCGAGUGACAUUCCGUGCCUUUAGUUCCAACACAGGGAGAUGGUAAUUGCUCUUCAAUAGGCCAUGCCUCUGAAGGGGCUUCUAGAAAGCCUGGUAAAGUAAGGCUUUACCUCCCAAAUCAGAGGUGCAUGUCAAUGAAAAUUCCAAGAACCAUCUUAGCCUGCAAGUAAAAAGAUCAGCCUAGGUGACUCCAGGAUUACAAAACUGGGUUCUCAAAGAUGAUCUUCUCAGUAAUUAUGAAGAGAAAGGGAGAGUGUUUCUAUAAUGGCUUUAUGAUCACAAUACUUAAUCAGAAUUAGUCUCUACAAAGUGAGGUGGGGGGGCAGGGGGUGGGGGAAGAAAACCACAUCUGUCAGCCUUGGCCAAUCUCUUAUGAAAUAAUCCUGUUCUAAUAAAGUUCAUAAUUAAACAUAAUUUGAUAAUAUUUUCUGGACUUGGGCAUCGACUGACUUUUAUAAAGCAAGUUGUGAUAUAAUAUAUUGAAAUGCUGUCAACUGACAUGCUUUUUCCUUUGGGUCGUUUUAUCUCAGAAUUCAAAAUGUGGGUAUAAUUGACACUAUUUAUUUACCUGGUAGAUGUGCUUGUCUUCUCUACUGUAGACAUGAGUCUUGCAAAUGCAUCAGUCACUUUGAGGCUUGAGGUGGAGAUUUCCAGCUUAGAAGUUGUUAACUCAUACAACUCCGGAUCCACACCUUAUAGUAUAAAAUGAUAGUCAGUGAUGGCAGGCUGCAAUGGGUUACCCAGUUAGCCACAAUCCAAGAUGCAAAAGGCAAUAUUCUGUAAACAUCUGAGUGUUUUACAAACAGAACAUAUCUUUAGAACACUGCAAUACUGCAUUUAUUUUUUACAGUAUAAACUCCACUUUUUGGAGUUUUUAUAAAACAGGAAAAGACUUUUCAAAUUCCAUUUUGGAACGAAUAUAUCCUUAAGCUAGCAUUUAUGCAGCAGAUGCUACCCAAAUACUUCUAAAAUUUCUAUCUGCUAUAGAAAACUCCCCCAAUUUGGAUUAGGAUGUGAUAUAAAAUUAUCAAUGUUUUAUAAAUAGAAUGCACAUGAUGUGACACCCCAUUUUUCAAUUAACUAAUCUCAUUUUAAAAAUUUUCCUGUUUCCUCACCUCCUUAUUUUUUCUCUAUUUUCUUCCACAGAAAAAGAUUUAGAAGCUACCACAAAGUCUCAAACAUGGUAAAUGAUCUGGUUAGUUUAAAUAUAUCAUGACUGGCCAGGCGCGGUGGCUCACGCCUGUAAUCCCAGCACUUUGGGAGGCCGAGGCGGGCAGAUCACAAAGUCAGGAGAUCAAGACCGUCCUGGCUAAAAC
rnacentral:lncRNA from 10 species